rnacentral:rRNA from 1 species
GUGGGGAAUAUUGGACAAUGGGCGAAAGCCUGAUCCAGCCAUGCCGCGUGUGUGAAGAAGGUCUUCGGAUUGUAAAGCACUUUAAGUUGGGAGGUAGGGCAGUAAGUUAAUACCUUGCUGUUUUGACGUUACCGACAGAAUAAGCACCGGCUAACUUCGUGCCAGCAGCCGCGGUAAUACGAAGGGUGCAAGCGUUAAUCGGAAUUACUGGGCGUAAAGCGCGCGUAGGUGGUUUUGUAAGUUGGAGGUGAAAUCCCCGGGCUCAACCUGGGAACUGCCUCCAAAACUGCAAGACUAGAGUACGGUAGAGGGUAGUGGAAUUUCCUGUGUAGCGGUGAAAUGCGUAGAUAUAGGAAGGAACACCAGUGGCGAAGGCGACUACCUGGACUGAUACUGACACUGAGGUGCGAAAGCGUGGGGAGCAAACAGGAUUAGAUACCCGAGUAGUCC